rnacentral:rRNA from 1 species
CCCCCCGGCCCGGGAUAGCCCAGGGAAACCUGGAUUAAUACCGGAUGAGACGGGACCCGCGAUGGCGGGACCCGGGAAAGGCGCUGCGGCGCCGCCGGGGAUGAGUCUGCGUCCCAUUAGCUAGACGGCGGGGUAACGGCCCACCGUGGCGACGAUGGGUAGCCGGCCUGAGAGGGUGGACGGCCACAUUGGAACUGAGACACGGUCCAGACUCCUACGGGAGGCAGCAGCUAAGAAUCUUCCGGCAAUGGGCGAAAGCCUGACGGAGCGACGCCCGCGUGAACGAAGUAAGGCCGUGAGGUUGUAAAGUUCUUUUCGGGAAGGGGGAACAACCGUGGCAGGGAAUGGCCGCGGGAUGACGUGAAUCCCGGAAUAAGCCCCGGCUAACUACGUGCCAGCCGCUGC